UACGUAGGGUGCAAGCGUUGUCCGGAAUUAUUGGGCGUAAAGAGCUCGUAGGCGGUUUGUUGCGUCGGCUGUGAAAUCCCGAGGCUCAACCUCGGGUCUGCAGUCGAUACGAGCAAACUAGAGUGUUGCAGGGGAGACUGGAAUUCCUGGUGGUAGCGGUGAAAUGCGCAGAUAUCAGGAGGAACACCGGUGGCGAAGGUGGGUCUCUGGCCUGUUCUUGACGCUGAGGCGCGAAAGCCAGGGGAGCAAACGGG
rnacentral:rRNA from 1 species